rnacentral:rRNA from 1 species
UUCAACGUACUUCAUAGUCGGGAAUAGCCUCUGGAAACGGAGAUUAAUACCCGAUAGUGCAGGGUUCUCCGCAUGGGGAAAAUUGCUAAAGAUUUAUCGCUAUGAAAUCGGGAUGCGUCCCAUUAGCUAGUUGGUAGGGUAACGGCCUACCAAAGCUCCGAUGGGUAACUGGUCUGAGAGGAUGAUCAGUCACACGGACACUGAGACACGGGUCCGACUCCUACGGGAGGCAGCAGUAAGGAAUAUUGGACAAUGGACGCAAGUCUGAUCCAGCCAUGCCGCGUGGAGGAAGAAGGUCCUCUGGAUCGUAAACUCCUUUUAUCCAGGGCUAAAAUGGGGCUAUACGCCGUAUUGAAGGUACUGGGGGAAUAAGCCACGGCUAACUACGUGCCAGCAGCCGCGGUAAUACGUAGGUGGCAAGCGUUGUCCGGAUUUAUUGGGUUUAAAGGGUGCGUAGGCGGCUUAAUAAGUCAGUGGUCAAAUCGUGUGGCUUAACCAUACUUCGCCAUUGAUACUGUUAGGCUAGAAUGCGGGUGAGGAUGCUAGAAUGAGUGGUGUAGCGGUGAAAUGCAUAGAUAUCACUCAGAACACCGAUUGCGAAGGCAGGCAUCUGGUCCGCUAUUGGCGCUGAGGCACGAAAGUGUGGGGAGCAAACAGGAUUAGAUACCCUGGUAGUCCACACUGUAAACGUUGGUUACUAGAUGUUCGGCUGCAAGGCUGAGUGUCCAAGCGCAAGCGAUAAGUAACCCACCUGGGGAGUACGUUCGCAAGAAUGAAACUCAAAGGAAUUGACGGGGGCCCGCACAAGCGGUGGAGCAUGUGGUUUAAUUCGAUGGUACGCGAGGAACCUUACCUGGGCUAGAAUGCCUUUGACCGCCGGUGAAAGCUGGUUUUCCUUCGGGACAAAGUGCAAGGUGCUGCAUGGUUGUCGUCAGCUCGUGCCGUGAGGUGUUGGGUUAAGUCCCGCAACGAGCGCAACCCCUAUCGUUAGUUGCCAUCAUUAAGUUGGGGACUCUAGCGAGACUGCCUGCGCAAGCAGUGAGGAAGGUGGGGACGACGUCAAAUCAUCAUGGCCCUUACGCCCAGGGCUACACACGUGCUACAAUGGCCGGUACAGAGGGUCGCAAGCUAGUGAUAGCAAGCCAAUCUCAAAAAGCCGGUCUCAGUUCGGAUUGGAGGCUGCAACUCGCCUCCAUGAAGUUGGAAUCGCUAGUAAUCGUAGAUCAGCAUGCUACGGUGAAUACGUUCCCGGGCCUUGUACACACCGCCCGUCAAGCCAUGAAAGCUGGGGGCGCCUGAAGUCGGGGAUAACCCGCCUAGGGUGAAACUGGUAAUUAGGGCUAAGUCGAACCAAGGUA